AUACUUUCUCGGCUUGUUUGCUAAGAUCAAGUGUAGUAUCUGUUCUUAUCAGUUUAAUAUCUGAUACGUGGGCCAAUGGCCCACACGAUAUUAAAUUUAUUUUUCUAGGGGGAAGGCCCAUAACGGUAGCUUGCUGCCGUGGUCUUCACGCGUCGCCUGUGCGUUGCACUGCUGCUCAGGCCCGGCGCUCCCCUC
rnacentral:snRNA from 1 species